rnacentral:tRNA from 1 species
UGCGAUGUAGCUCAGCGGUAGAGCACCGGCAUUUCAGCCGGAGGUCGCGGGUUCGAGUCCCGUUAUUGCAGCCA